GCUCCACCAGCCCCUAGCAGAUCAGCUGAGACUUUCAGUAUGAAUUGGAUUGAGAUUGACAUCGCAUAGGAGGUUAUCUUGCACUAUCACUAAGGGCAGCUCCCCAAGCCACUUUAGAACCUGUUCGGGCAGCAACUCCGCCAUCCCCUCCUCGGACCUCAUUGUCGAUUCAGUCUGAUUCAUUCCUGGUGUCUCCUAUUGCUUCAGCUCCUAUAGUCCAGGAAAUAGUGGGGCUUUCCUCAUCCAUGAUCGAGGAGGUGUAUGUCAUGAUGAUGAAGAGGUUCAGGAGGGAUGAAUUGAUUUUUUUGUAAUCAACAGCUUGCCCUAGAGGUGAUCAAGCUGACACUGUUGCC
rnacentral:lncRNA from 1 species